AAAACAAUUCUACCUCAGAAUAAAGUAGCAUGUAUUAUUUGUAAAUAGCUUAGCCCUUGCCUGUAACUUCUGUGUGAGAAAUAAUUCUCCUUCAGCUCUCCUUCAGACUGCUCCAUGCCUCCCUGACUCAGGAAAACUCCACAUACAGAAGCCAUAUUGUCUCUCUGGCCAAGAGUCACACAAGCAGUCAGAGAGACACUGAUU